AAGCAGGAGAGCACAGGCUGACCCUUCCAUGCCCUGUCUCUGUAGCCCUGUCAGAAGCUGGAUUUGGGGGCCUCAGUCCAGAGAUCUGUCCAAACUCCAGAGUUGGGACUGGCAGAGCAGACAAAAGGAGGCCCACUCCUUGCUUCUUGUCUCAAGUUCUUUUUGUAGCAGAUAAAGGCUUCUAGACCCUAAUCGCUGAGAUGAGACAUGUCACUCCUCCUUCAAGGGAACAAACCCAAAUCCCAACUCCAUCGCUCUGCUGGGGAAGCUAGGUCACACUUCCAGACACACCUCUAACAUGAUUAGACAGGGAGGUCUGCUCUCUGUCCAGGCUGAGGAUUCCCCUCCGCUCAGCUCUUGCUUCUGACAACCGUCCCUCCUGCAAGUGUAAAAGCUGGAGUCAGCUCAGAGGGGAGCAGGAGCGAGAGGCGGGCUUUGGUCUGGCCUUGCUUGCAGGAUGCAGGCUGGCGGGAGGCUUCUGGCUUCCUGGAGGGACUGCGAAAACUCAGGCUCUCAUCACAUGGUCUGGAACUGAACCUGCAAUAGCUCAGAGGUCUGCCCAUGUUAUUGUAUCUCUGGCUUAUGGAUGGGGAAAGUGAUGACAGAAAGUUUAAGAGACUUGUGCAAAUUUACGCAGCUAGUAAGGUGCAGAAGUGGGAUUUGAUUUGAACGCUGUUUUGUGUGAUUCCAGCGCUGCACCACAGUGGCAACAUAACGGGAGUGGGUGGGAGUAUCCUGGGGAUUGGAUGGAUGACGACUGCCCACCGUGCUGUGAAGUACCAGCACACUAGUUACUGGCUUGGCCCUCCGAGGAGGUUUCCCUCUGGAAAUGUCACUUGGUUGCUCUUUGAAGUUGGGUAGAAUUGAGAACGGCAC